AGUGAACGCUGGCGGUAGGCCUAACACAUGCAAGUCGAACGGCAGCACAGGAGAGCUUGCUCUCUGGGUGGCGAGUGGCGGACGGGUGAGGAAUACAUCGGAAUCUACUUUUUCGUGGGGGAUAACGUAGGGAAACUUACGCUAAUACCGCAUACGACCUACGGGUGAAAGCAGGGGAUCUUCGGACCUUGCGCGAUUGAAUGAGCCGAUGUCGGAUUAGCUAGUUGGCGGGGUAAAGGCCCACCAAGGCGACGAUCCGUAGCUGGUCUGAGAGAAAGAUCAGCCACACUGGAACUGAGACACGGUCCAGAGUCCUCCGGGAGGCAGCAGUGGGGAAUAUUGGACAAUGGGAGCAAGCCUGAUCCAGCCAUACCGCGUGGGUGAAGAAGGCCUUCGGGUUGUAAAGCCCUUUUGUUGGGAAAGAAAUCCAGCUGGUUAAUACCCGGUUGGGAUGACGGUACCCAAAGAAUAAGCACCGGCUAACUUCGUGCCAGCCGCCGCCGUAA
rnacentral:rRNA from 1 species